GCAGCGCCCUCACCGGGAGGCAUAGAAAGACUUCUUGUCAAUAUGGCCGAGAACCAAAUAGACGAUAUUGCUGAUGUAUUUGAGGAAAUCAUGGGAGACGACUUUGAUGAACCAGCCAUAUCUGCGAAGAAUGCUGGUGACCACAUAGUACAUGUAAAUGUUGCAUUGGUAGAACGAGUCAUGGGUGGAAUCAAAAGUGAUGCUCUUUUACCUGACCAUUUUAGAACACUACUUGAUUCUACAACGGAUACCUGAACUGGUGUAUAGUAGGGUUGUCGUGCCUAGCCCCAAGUCCUCUGUGCCUCCCAAAAUGUUCCUCAAGGGGGUCUUGACAAAAUACUUGACUUAACAAGUAUGGAACACCUUGUUGAAGCAAAUACUUGGUGGCAUCAAUAAAGGAAUUGACUGCAAAUAGUUAAACAUAUAUUGAGGUCUUCAUCGUAGAAAAGAUCGAGCAGCUUAAUGGUGACUGUUUUGUUCUGGUUUGAAUUGUUCAGUAAUGAAAAUGUCUUACCAGUCAUCACUAUUCCUUCAUGCGUCUGGGUCGAGAGGAACAUUUUAUUUUUUUCCUGUUUGGAAAAACCUUGUCUAGUCAUGACAGCUUGCUUCCAUUCUUCAAGAUACCCCAAAAACACCGUCUUUAAAAACUGGAAAAGAUUUUAUACAGUUUUACAUAAACCAGAUGACUGUGGAAUGAAGACAAAAGGAACAUAAAAGGGAUGCCCUGCACUAUUUCACCUCAAAUCUAGGGUCAUCAGGCAAGGUGUAUGCAGCUAGGUCAGAUUUCCUUGUGCGAGUGGCCUCAUGCAGGGAACGUCCAUUAAGACAAUCAAAAAAUCUGUCCACUAACAUGAAGAACUUGGAUGUUUCACUCAUCUCUGGGCCAUAAUAGGCAGACAUUACAGAGGACACUGUGUGGCUUAAAACCUGUAGUAGAUAGAUCAUUUUGUGGAAGACUUGUAAACAAUAUAGGCUAGAAAUGAUUUGUACAGUAAAUGGUAAAGUGUUCCUGUGCUGCCAGACGAACAUUCAUGGUGGAUGAAGGAGUGAGGUAUAUGUGGUCAAAUCUGAGCUUUGUCCUGUAAAGUUGUCCCUGCAUAUCAUCAUUGUAUACUUUCUCAACAUGUGACCACAGGAUGUUAGUGUUUUUCUAAUUUCAAAAUGAAAGAAUAAUAGCUUUCAGUAAUAACCAUAAGUAAUGACAAUUACCUUUCUCAUGAUCUCUCCAGGGCUAAAAGUUACGGUAAUCAACAGAUUUUUUUUAAUUUUUUUUGCUUCUAAGUACAUGUACUCACCCAAAGAUACCUAGUCCCACCUGUGUGUGACUUGUAUACAUUGUUUCUGAUCGUCUUGAUCAGAUGUGGGACGUCUGAGAAGAAAUAAACAAAUCUCUUCUCCAUGGCAUAUGGGUUGUCAGCUCUAUAAACGACCUCUUCAUUCCCAGUCCUAUGGAGCCUGUAAAGUCUUUGAUUUGGAGAUGCCUUGUCGCUUGUCGAUGAAAUGACCUAUAUACAUUAAGUCUGAUUAAGUGUGGAUCCACUUUUAUGAAAACUGGCAGUUCACCUUCAAACCACUGGUAAUCUCCAGAUAAGCUAUUGCUUUCCACAGUAAGGGAUAAAGCUCAUCAGCAGUGGAAGAUCUGGUUGGGAAGUGCCCAAUACUCAUUUUGAUGUGGGAAUUGAUGCCUACCACCAUAAACACUAAGACUUGAGUGGCAAUUCUCUUUGUUUCAUCCUACAUUUCAGAAGAAAGAGAGAAUUUUAUUCAACCUCAUUAAAAGACCAAGUGUCCGGAUUGGUGAAUCCAACAACUUGAUUGCUCCUUCUAUCGUAAACAAGGUCUGCCUUAACUUUCAUCUCGUCAUGCAGCAAACAAACAAACUUUUUUUCUGAUGCCUGAAAACCAGAAUGUGGCUGGAUGAAGUUUGUGUAGUCCCGAAGUGUAGCCUGGUUUGGAAGUUUCAGAACACCACUUUCUCUGAGAGACUCAUAGGCCUUUGGACUUUGGCACCGAAGAAAUAUGGCAAACCUUAUCAUCAUUGGAUGCCAUCUCAUACCUGAUUUGUGGUAUUAGAAAAGGUCCAUCAAACUAUUUUCUGCUGGUUUGUGGUUUUGCAGUGUAGCAAAUAGCCCCUCUCCAACGUCCUCAGCAACAGCAGCUGUCUCACCUUUCAUGGUGAUCAAAGUAUAUUACCUUUACUCAAAGAAUCUACAAGACUCUGAAGUCUCCGGUUUUCUUCCCUUAUGACCUUGACCUGCUUUAUAAGGGCUGUUUGAGGUAGAUGUUUAAGGGGAGUCUUAGGAUGAAGUGCAUGAGGAGAUGAGUUGGAGAUAAGUGAGUUGUGAAGCUUGGAACAUGCAUCACACAUCGUUAAACUCUGAACACCACCUAAACAGCCAUUGGCACGUAUAACACUACUGUUGACUGGUUUCCCAUCAACAAUGCGACUGAAGAAGAAGCGGUAUCCCUGUGAACUUUUAAGGGUGAAAUCCGAGCUAUCUUUCACUCCAGGGCAUUUGCAAAGAUUUUCCAGGCCGUCCAAAAAUUUGUUGAUUGGAAUUUUCUCCACAGAUUUUUCAACACCGACGACUGUAACUUCUAAGUAGAGAAAUAUAUUAUACAUAUAUAUGUGAUGCAUUUUUAACAUUUCAACAUGCAUAUAAACUUAAAAUAUAAAAGCCCUGAUACCUGAAUUUGUGUUAUAGAAUGUAUGACCAUGAAUUCCAAGACAGGGGGAAAACCAGUACCUCCAAAACGAACACUGACAUCCAAAUUGUCAUGAAUUGUGACCAGUUUUUCCAUGGACCCAGAGGAUUGGUCAAAUUUUCCGAACACCAGGUCAUCCUUGACUUUUACCCAGUCCUGUUUAUGAUUUCUUUCAAAAUCUCUCCUUACCUCUGCAAGAGAGUAAUAAACUACUCUCUCUGGAAGUGAAGGCAAUGGCCGUUUUGUCUGAAAAUAAUUGUUUUAAAAUUACUGUUGUCUCAUUGUUAUGUCAGCACAUGUCAUUUUAUAAAUGUUUGCAUUUUAUUAAAUAUACUUUAAUAUUGUUUAAAUUUACACACAACCAUAAAAAAGAAGGGACUUUUAGAAUUUAUAUAUUUCUUAAGAGUGUUACUGGACUUGGUCUUGGUGGAGGAUGUGGUGUUUCCACACUCUUUUUUGGCAUGUUCAAGGUUGGCAUGCUUCCUGGGAUAAGUUUGUAGCCAUUACCUGCAAAUUCACAAUUUUUUUUUGUUCAAAUUUUUGUUAGUUAUAAAUACAUGGAUAUUAGGAAAAUUUAGUUUUAAAAAGCUCCGAUAUAUACAUUCAAAAAGUUCAAAAGUUUUUCAAAUCAACAUUUAGAAGUUUCUUUUAUUGAAAGCUGAAAAAUUCCUUUGUCAAGGACCCUCUACAAUUUUUUUUUAACAUAAAAAUAAAGAAAUUGUGUAUGUAGGUGUAAAUUUUGGCUUUCAUUAGAUCUGCAUUGUUUUGGACUAGAAUGUCAGCUGUUUAUCCCAAGGAAAAAAAAGAUAUGUCGAAGUGAUUUGGAAGUCCAAAUCACAUAUUCUUUAAGUAUUUAACCUUCGAUAUCUCAAAUCCCUGGUUAUCUGGAAGUUUUUUCUCAGUCCCAUCAGGUUCGAGAUAACGAAGUUUGACUGUAUCUUAAUUCUGACCUGAUGAAAUGUCAAGUUGAUUUCAAAUUGAGUAUUAAUGUGUUGUAUUUUUUUAAAAUUUGUUUUAUUUAGUAAAGCCAUUUCAAGUUUUUCUUCUCUGUUUAG